CAGCCAUGCAGCCGUGUCUCUGUCCUCCAUGGCCACGAACCUCCUCUUGAGACUCUACUCUCCCUGCAUCAGCAAUGGCGGGGGCUGCUUGCUGGUAGUCGCUGCUGCCUCUUCUCGUCCAGGUGGAUGGCGCAUUUCUGAAAUACAUUAACUGUGCACUCAAGGAAAAGCAUGGUCUCAGUCUGGCUGCGUUUACACCCCCAUUUUCAAGAUGAGGGUACCCAGCUUGACAAAGAUCCAGUAACACAUAAUGGAGUCAAGAUCCAGGGAUCAGUUGCUGCAACCCACACCUGUAUUUGUGAGGUCCACAGGAGGGUUUGGGAACCAUGAUGUUGAGCUUAGGGUGUCAUCAUGGAGCUAUCCUGAAGCCACACAGUCUAGCCAGUUCAGAGGCAUGGAUGGCCAGGAUAACAAAGAGAGCUGCUGAAGUCUGUUCUGGAGGCACCAUGACAAAGCACCAGACAGAAAGCAGUCACGUGUGGGGAGAUGAGCAGACACCACUUCACGGGCACCUGAUUAUUCUUUCUCAGUAUGGAGAAGCAAAAAUUAUCCUACGGAAAAACAGUUGCAGAUGCAAAACCACAAACCAGCGGAUGAGGCAAAGGGGGCACGAGGCGGGGAGGAGCCUGGAGACUGAGGGACAGUGAGGACAACUUGCCAAUCAAGUUUAAUUCCUUAUCUGUUCAUGUCAACAUUUAUUCAAACUCACUGGUGGAGAUAAAAGAUUAAAAAAAACCAAAAAAACAAAAAACAAUUGAUUUCUUAAGUUCUCUCCUCUUUCCAAUCUGUAGCUCUAGUUUCUUAGGGCUGCAAGACCUCUAGGUAAAGUGAAUAUUUCUGAGAAAUUGCGUGGUCAAAUCAGCUGUGCCUAGCUGGACGCUCACUCCCUUCCCUGCGCGCCUACAGCGAAUAAAGCAUCUUUCUCCCACCCCGGUUUUUUUCUUCCUGUUCUCUCCAUCUUCCUCCUUUUC